rnacentral:lncRNA from 12 species
GCUCUUUUAAGUACCAACUAAAAUGAUGUUCCGCAGUACGAGAGCUUGUCUGUUCUACUACUGGCCAGUUUACUUGUUUGUUCCUCUUUCCUCUCAGCGUCCACAUUUGAGUGAGUAUCAGAGUUGAAGAACAGGUUGGGUCUGUGUCCCCGCUCAGCAACCUACACCCUUGAGUAAUGGAGACCAUCUGCUUCCGAAGAGCUCCGUCAGCAAAACGGAGUCAGCCGAAAAGACUUCAAUUAUCAAUAUACCAUUUAAUACAUCGCCGCAGGCCAAACAGUCUGGCGUUCAGACAGCGUGAGAUGGAGGAUGUUAUUCCUCAGCUACAUGGGUGGAUUCUGCAACGCGGCAAAUCAGGGGUCAGAGCUGACUCGCAUCUAUCACGCCGUGGAUAAAUGACCAUGUCUGAGGAGAAGCAAACAUCUCUGCGCCUUAGCAGACCGAACUGCUGUAACACUCGUGGAUCUGAGACCAGGGUUUUAUUUAGCACAAGAUCAGUGAUGGACGGACAGACUCCAGCGAGACAGAUGGGCAGAUGUGGCUUCACAGCAUUUUAUAGGAUGAAUUCAUCUGAUGAAAAUAUGUUUCAACCUGUCCACGCCAGCAUCCAGCUACCUUGA